CCCCAGCUCGACUCAUAUUUCUAGGAUUAAAAAUGCUGCUUCUGUUACCUCUUCCUCAGAUAUUUCUGAAUAUUCCAGUUAACCCAUAGAGGACCUGAAGCUACUCUUCCACAGGAGCCCUGAAAACACUCUGGAGAAAGAAGGGUAAAAUUGUUGUGUCCUUCUUUCCCUCACUCUAGUCUUCUUUCUUGCUAUUUUACCUCCUAGGAUGAGAACUUUACUCUUGUUAUUUUCUCUCUAAUUCUAUUUGUGUCAAUCUGUGGGCCCCUGCAUUGGGGGGAUAACUCCUUAGUCUUUAGUCAGCCUAGGGACCUCUGUGGGCAGUGGGGGCAUUCAGGAUCAGCAUUCUCAAGGCAGCCCACAGAUGUCAUCUGAUGCGUUUUUUUCCCAAAGGUCCCAUUCCCAAAUAUUGCCAUCUUCACCCUAGAUAUCAUCCCAUUUUUAACCUUUUUACGAGAUUUGUUUCCACCAGGCUCCAAGCUACAAACUUCCAACUACUCGUUCAGUCUGAAGACUGAUGUUGCUGCUGCCAUCUUAAAAUCAUGCAGUUCCCCUCCCAGCCUGAACACCCACUGAGCAUAGGGACAACUCUAAGCCCCUUGUCAGCCUGAAGCAGCUCCAGAAGAAGAGACCUCCAUCCCUUUGUCCCAAGUGAAUUUGAGGGUGACUGCUUCAGGGCAGGGAAAUGAUGUAAUAGGAUUCUUUGGUCCCCUGAUCUCUUAGAGGGGACUUCAGUCCUCGCAGUGAGUCAGGAAAUCCUAAAUCUUCUGGCUUUGGAGUCUGCCUUAGGAAACUUUCAAUAUAUUUAAUCCUAACCACUCCUUAGCCAGUUAACUUCUCGCCUCAUGAAAGCUCUAAGCCCAGUAUUUCCCAGUUCACUGCUGACUGAGUGAUAAACAAAUUUCAGAGACCACCCUUAAUUCAUCUGGAGAUAACUCCAGAGCCUUGGCUCAUAGAAUCAACAUGUCAAUGAUAAGACUCCUUAGCCCUGGGUCAUGGGGGACUGGAUUAAUCAGUUCUCUGUCUCUCAAUUCUUUGCUAUCUGGCAUCUAGCCUGCUGAAUUCCCGGAAUCAAAUAAACCCUUUUUGCCAACUUAACUUGGAGACUGAUUCUGAGAAUUCUUUAGCAAUAUAUGUGACCUUGACGUGGGGACCCCCAAACGUUGUUAGGGUAUUUCAGCCUUCAACACCACCCUGUGCCUCAUAUUUUCUGGUCUACCUGAUAAAAUCCCUUCCUGGAGUCCUCAUCAGGGAGAUAAUACCAAAUUGUUGCUUUUUAGCACCCUCUACUGACACAUUAGCGCAUUCUCUAAGGGCUGAAUAAUAACUAUCCUUUUCCUUGCUAGAGGUGAUAACAAUUCAUCCUUUUGACCCAGAGACUCCAGUUGUGGGCUUAUCUAUCCAGUACACCAUUGAUAAGAAAGUCCCAAUAAUCACCAAAAUAUCUGGACAGUAAUCUUUCUGACAUGAAAGAACUGGAAACAAACUAGAUGUCCAUUACUUGGAGAAUGUCUGAUAAAUUUGUGGUACCUGAAGUAAUGGAAAAUUAUGACCUAUUAACAUUUUUAACAUAUAUUGAAUUACUUGCCAUCUAAGAAAGGGGGUGGGGAAAUGAAGAGAAAAAAUUUGGAACACAAGCUUUUGCAAAGGUGAAUGUUGAAAAUUAUCUAUGGGGGCAGCUAGUUGGUGCAGUGGAUAGAGCACCAGCCCUGAAGUCAGGAGGACCUGAGUUCAAAACUGGCCUCAGACCCUUAACACUUCUUGGCUGUGUGACCCUGGGCAAGUCACUUAACUCCAGCUGCCUCAGCAAAAAAAAAAAAAAAAAAAAAAUUAUAUAUGCAUAUAUUUUGAAAUAAAAUUUUAAUUUUAUUAAUAUUUAGUUUUCCAUUACUUCAGGUAAUUCAGGUAAUAUUGAAUUGAUGACAUAGCAUAGGUAAUUCAGACUGCUUUGAGGAAACUGAAAGUCAUUCCCCUCCCUUUAACCUCCAAUUUGCUCAUAUGUAUACUGAAAAAAGAUGACUUGAAUACAUUCAGCUUUCUCUCCCAGCUCUAACGUUCCCUGUUUUAUAAUGCUGGGAGGGCAAUCCUCGGUCCACUAUUCCCAGAAGUUCCCACUUCUCCCACCUCAAACCGCAAAAAAAUCCAAGCCAACCUGUCUCAACCCUUUUUUACAAUCUUCUCUCACUGUUUAGCAUUUCCCAGCUCCCCGCCCAGGUCUCUCUUUCAUCCUUCUAUGAGUGGUCUUACUUGCCAUUCCAUCAGCCCAAAGAGGGAAGUCCCUUACUCUCCAGGAUCUUGGCAACUCCAGGCACUUCCAGGCUAAGAAGAGAGCCAUCUCCUGUAAGAUUCACCCGUAGUAGAACGCACUGAGUCUGGCACCCUAAAAUUCACUCCCCUCCUUCCCCUAGCAAGGGAAGGUGCAUAUAUUGAUCAGGUUAUCUGAAACCUACGUGUGCUAGAUACAGCAGAGCAAGCAAUCUUCCGCCUGGCCUUGGGUAUUCACAUGCUCGGUUUUCACUGAAGCUUGACUCCAACAUAUGGCACCUUGAACAGGGAGCGGACUUGUUCCUCCUGGCAGGAGAGCGGCCUUCUUGGUGAGAGCUCAAUAAUUAAGGGAGGCCGGCGUGCACUUCCUUCCAGAGUCCCAUGGAGAGAGCACUUCCAGCCACAGCAAGAACUCACCACCAACACCUCUAUUUCAGCCCCAGUGGAAUAACUGGUUGAAACCCCUGGAGGUUAAGUUUUCUGUCUGGUCUGAUUGCUAGAAAAUCUGGAUCUCCAGAAAAAAUUGGGUUGAUGAGCCAUACAACUCUGGGAAGGCUAAAAGGGACACCCCGUAGCACUACUAGUCUGGAUGCCUUUCGGCCUAAAUCUGGGUGUUCUCUGACCCCAAUUUGGUUCUAGGUUUCUUUGGACAAUAAAUCUGGGUGCUUUUGAGCACAAAUCUGGGUGUUAUUGAAAACACUACUGGUCUGGGUUACCUCUGGGCACAAAUCUGGGAGUUUUAAAAAAUACUACUGGUCUGGGUACUUCCAGGCACAAAUCUGGGUUCUGGGUUUUUUUUUUUUUUUGCCUGAGUACUGAAUUUAUGGAUAGUUUGUAACUGGGACUUCCCUCACCCAGCAUGAUUCCUUAUGAAUGGCAAAUAUGGAUCAUUUAUAUAAAAGGAUUGUUUUACUUUAUUCCUUUAAAAUCUGAAGGCUGUCUUUAUUUUGCAUUUUCAUUAACAUCCACAAAUUUGAAGGAACCUUAUUUAAGAUUUCAGUGGAAAGUUCUUUCAUAAGACAUGAAAAAUAAUGUCAACAGUGUGUGGCAGAAAUUAUAGCUUCUAUCAGAGCCAAAUUUAAAGAAGCAUAUAUCGUACAUUAUGUAGGUAGCUUUCUAUGUGCCCAUUAUUACUGGAAUAUUGCACAACAAGUAUUAAGGGACUCACAGGAGGCUUUAGAAAAACAUGGAUUGAAGAUAGCUCCAGAGAAAGUGCAAUUAGCCCCAAUGUAUUUGUAUUUAUGACAAAUAAUUGAAAACUGUUUAUCAGGCCAUAAAAAAUAAAAAUUAGAAGGAAUAAGUUAGAUAUUCUAAAUUAUCAAAAAUUACUGGGGUAUAUUAAUUGGAUAAGACCAUAUUUAAAAUUUGGGGCAAAAUUAUUGGAAAUUUUACGAGGAAAUCCUAACACAAAUUCAAAAAGAAACCUAACCAAAGAAGCAGAGGAUCAGUUGCAAGCAGUAGAAAGAGCAAUAAAUUCUUGUCAUUUGGACAGAAUAAAUGUACAAAAAGAAAUACAGAUAUCAGUAAUGGCUAUUUUUCCCAUUCCUUUUGCAGCUAUACACCAGACACAGGCCAUUUAGAAUUUGCCAAGUACACACUUGGCAAAACAGUCUCAUAAACGCCUUUCUACCAGAUGGUGGCGAUAUUGAUCAAAAGAUUUAAAAAGGAUAUUGCUAUUAACUGAAUUGUGUUCUACAAAUAAUUCAUCAACCAUAUUCUAAAGAUCAGCUUUCAAUAGCUUUCGAAUAAUGAUUGACAAUUUUAAUGAUGAUGUGUCAACGUCUUAUUGAUAACAUCUUUCAGCUACCGAUUUUACAAUUCAUGGCUAUCAAUAGAUAUUUCCACUUUUGACUAGAAUUAAUUCAAUUACUGAUGCAAUUAUGGUGUUUACAAAUGCUACUAACAAACAAUUGGCCUCUUUAUAGAGCCACCCUUCCACUAAACAUGUUUUCCUCACUCCAUUUGAAUCAAUGCAGCAAAAUGAGUUAUAAGCAAUUAUUAUUGCCAUUGCAUAUUGUUCAAAAACCUCAAUAUUUUUUUCUGAUAGCAAAUAUGAUGUUUAUAUGGUAAAUAACACAGAUACAACCCAAAUAAAGUUUUCUAGCAAUUUAAUGAUUUAUCAAUUGUUUAAGCAAUUGCAACAUGUCAUAAGAAAUAGGAAAGCCCCUUUUUUCUGUAUGCAUAUAUUCUCAAUACUGAACUUCCAGGAGACAUAAUAGCAGGGAAUGCUGUUGCUGAUUUUCUAACAUAAUCCUCCUUAUUAACUAUGUCUCUUUUUCAUGCCAAAAAUUCUAAUUCAUGAUUUCAUCAAUCUCCACAAAUCCUAUGUCAUCAAUUCAAUAUUACUAAAGAACAAACCAGAUAAAUAAUUUGAUCUUGUACUUAUUGUAAUCCUUAUCUAUCUUCCUUGAAAUCAAUAGCUAAAAAUCCCCAUGGUUUGGCCCCUCUUUGUAACCCAUUAUCCCUCUUUUGAGAGACUUAAAUAUAUUCUUGUUAUUGUAGACACUUUCUCUUCUUUUAUACUUGCUACCUAUCAUACAGGGGAAUUUACAGUUAAGGUUAUUGAUCAUUUGCUAUUUUGUUUUUCUAUUUUAGGAGUUUCACAUGCGAUAAAGACAGAUAAUGGUCCUGUUUAUACUAGCAUUGGUUUUUAAGAAAUUUUGCCUCUCCUUCCAUAUUCAGCAUGUUCCUGGAAUACCUUACAACCCUACUGUCCAGGCCAUUGUGGAAUGGAAGCAUAGAGAUCUAAAGACCUUUUUGGAAAAACAAAAAGGGGAAAGGAGGAUUAAUAGGUGAUUAACAAUAGCACUGUAUGCUCUAAUUUUUUUUAACACCUGGUUCAUAUGGUAGUACACCAGCACAAAAACAAUUUAAAAUUCUAAAAUAAAAACGUGAUAUAGCAAAAAAGGGUGCCACUAAUAUUGAAAGAACCCAAAACUGGGAAAUGGAAUGGGCCAGAUAAAUUACGAACAAGGGGACAAGGUUAUGCUUGUAUUUUUCCAGAUGCCACUGAAAAACUGAUCUGGAUACUGAGAGAUUUGUGUGACCCUGUGAAUGUAUUGACACAUCAAAUGCAACAGCUGGGAAUACAGCCUGGAAGGAGAAAGAAUAGAAACUGAAAACAAUGAUCAAGACAUAAGAGAGCUAAAGGAAGAAAAAGCCUACUUACUUUGUUCACCUUAUUGACUAUUCAAGUGGCAGGUGGAGAAAAAGAAUACACACAUUGGACUUUUGUGGCAUAUCCUCCAAUACUUUGAGUAUUUACAUAGGCACAUAAACUGACAUUUGUAUCACUUACUAAUUCAAAGUUGAUGGGAGAAGUGCAGAAGUCAUAUAUACAAUAAACAAAGACUGUUAAUAUUCUACAGGUGUUUACAGUCAGGAAACCUAUAUGUUUUUAUAGAGCAAAAGGGAGUGAUUUUAUGGAAACUACUGAUGACUUUGUUCCUGUUUGUCAAAAGCUGGUAUAUCAUAAAAAAAGCAUUAUAGAAAUUGUGGGGCUGGCACAAUGGUGGAAUAUUACUAAAUUGAAUAUUAAUUUCAUAGAUAAUGAUGAAAAGAUUUCAAAACCUAGACACCAAUCAUGUCUCAAGAUCAAUUGAGCUUUAUGGCAAAAAACAACCUUUCCUUCCUGGAACAAAUUUCAUGACCAUGCAAACAGCUUUUGAUAAUUUGUUUUCCUGGUUAGGAUCAAGUACAGAAGUUUCUAUA